CCCAAUCUCAGCUUACUGAGUUUCUAUGCUCAGCAUAUAUCCUCAGCUAUCUGUCAUUGACUGCGCAAGCAGACAGAUUGGAUGCGUUUUUCUUCGUUGAAGUCGGAUACCGAUCAUGAGGACUUCAACGCGCUGUUACUGCUUGAAAAUGUGAAGCCUCAGAAUUAUUUCAACGGGAAUAAAUACGUCGGUUUCGAGAAGGAAGAGACAUUUGCCGUGCUAAAAUCGUAAGGAAUUUUGUUCUGCUAUACGUGUCAUAAUGACGACAAGAUCUAAUUUUUGACUAUAAAUGAUACACCGGAUGAGUGGAAAUUUAGUUAUUGUUCAAGUGAUUUGACUAUAAACAUGUCUAAGCAAUUGAUGGUCGGUUUGAUUUUGGUUGCGGUUUUGGGAGACCGAUUCAUGCAAACUGAGGGUGCGCCUGGGAACGGUAAGACUG